rnacentral:lncRNA from 1 species
AUGGCCGGCGACGAAGGCGACGACCGAAGAAGGCCCGCGACAGAGUUGGGACACCGGCGGAGGGCACACCGGCCAGCCACGCGGAUGGAGCCGGGGAUGGGCGUUAAUGGCGGCACCGUGGAUGGCGGGCUGCGGUGCUGGAGCUCCAGGCGACAAUCUGGCGACCACGUCGCCGACGGCCACAUGGCUGGCGACGGAGUUGGGGCGCACCGGCUGGCCACGCGGAUGGAGCCGGAGGUGGGCGUUAACGGCGGUGCCGUGGACGGCGAGCAGUGGUGCUCGAGCACUAGGCGACAAUCCGGCAACCACGUCGCUGACGGCCGCGCCCUCCUCUCGCCGAGCAGGUCUUCUUCCCCAGCCUGCGCCGGAGUCGCCGACGGCCACCUCCUCCUCACGGCUCAGGCACUCAGCCUCGUUCCUCUUUGGAUGGGAAAGGUGGACAAAAUGUAUCCCAUCCCGAUGCUUCGGUGCGAAUCUCUGAAGCAUCGGCUUCCCCGCGACGGCGGCGCCGGACAGGACUCCGCCGAGGAUGCCGGCGACAAUCAUCGACCUUGGGCCGGACGCGAUGCGGUAGAGCGCCCCGGCGCUGGCCCCCGCGGCGACGGUGUUGACCCAGUCGUCGGCGACGUCGCACUG